rnacentral:lncRNA from 1 species
CUCCUGCCCUUGAGGUAAAAUCUAUUAAAGUCUUUCAGAAAUUGGUCCCUGUCAACUUGACAGUAUAGAAUGGGCCAAUGGUUUACAUGGGGACAUUUUGGAAAUUUGAGUUUUUGUCUUUCUCAAUUAAAAAGACAUGCUACUGGAAUUUGGUCAGGAAUUCUAGAGUGUUGCAAUUCAAGAGAUGAUUCCUUAUAACCAAGAAUUCUCUUGCGUUUCACAAGACUUUUGGAUGACCUGCUGGAUGUACUAUGUGAAAAACGUCUUUGUAAUUAGCUGAUCCCAGGAUCUAUCUCCAUUAACCGUACACUCAAGGGAGAAGGGGACAAGUUUAUUUCUGGAUUUCUGGAUUACUCUUAUCAUGAGAAUGUAGUCCUUUGAAUCCCACCUUUAUGGAAGGAGAAACUCCUGCUAAAUUCCUCUUAUUGAGGUUGUUCUGGGGUGUUCCCUUUUCCCAUGAGACAUUCACAAAAAUCUCAAAUUCACCUAGUUAGGCAAGCACCUUCAGAACAAAAGCCUGCUUCAGUGUUCCACUUACAUCUCUCUGUGUCCCCGCCUUCACUUACUGUGUUUUGCCCUGAAAAUUCCUUACUUUUCUAAGCAGUGCAUCAAAGCAUUUGAGAUUUUUAUUUUUUAUUUUUUUUGGUGGGGGGGGGUACCAGGGAUUGAACUCAGGGACAGUUGAGCACUGAGCCACAUCCCUAGCCCUAUUUUGUAUUUUGUUAGAGACAGGGUCUCAGGGUCUCACUGAGUUGCUUAGCACCUGGCUAAAUUGCUGAGGCUGGCUUUGAAUUUGUAAUCCUCCUGCCUCCGCCUCCCUAGCUGCUGGGAUUGCAGGUGUGCACCACCAUGCCCAGCUCAGCAUUUGAGAUAUAUUUUUUAAAAUAUUUAUUUUUUAGGUAUAGAUGGACACAACACAAUGCCUUUAUUUUUAUGUGGUGCUGAGGAUGGAACCCGGGUCCCGCCCGUGCUAGCCAAGCGCUCCACUGCUGAGCCACAAUCCCAGCCCAGCAUUUGAGA